rnacentral:lncRNA from 1 species
AUCACCCAGAUUCCAAGCAGCUCUAUCAGGACAGAGCCUCUUCUUGUUAGAUCAGUGCCCGCCAUGGAGGAGACACACAGUAUUUGAUGAAUGGUUGCAUGAAAGCCAAGAAUAAACAGUACUUGGAUAAUGAAAAUGAAAGCACCACUGCUCCACCCACAUCUUGAGGCUUAGAAACUGUGAAGCAGCCUGGGGUUUGGAUGUGGAUCAGGGAGUCACAACCACGCUGUAAAGCCAAACAGCUAACCUGCGACACUGCUGGGCACAGACUGAGGUAUGUCUCGUGGCUGUUACCAAUGCCAACUCUCAGGAUUCAUACAAAUGGAAGACAAGAAUAUCUUAGGUAAUCUACAAAUGCCCAGGUCUGAUUUGACUCACCUUUCUCCCUUAC